CCCGCACAAGCAGCGGAGCAUGUGGUUUAAUCGAAGCAACGCGAAGAACCUUUACCAGGUCUUGACAUCCCGAUGCUAUUUCUAGAGAUAGAAAGUUACUUCGGUACAUCGGUGACAGGUGGUGCAUGGUUGUCGUCAGCUCGUGUCGUGAGAUGUUGGGUUAAGUCCCGCAACGAGCGCAACCCCUAUUGUUAGUUGCCAUCAUUCAGUUGGGCACUCUAGCGAGACUGCCGGUAAUAACCGGAGGAAGUGGGAUGACGUCAAAUCAUCAUGCCCCUUAUGACCUGGGCUACACACGUGCUACAAUGGUUGGUACAACGAGUUGCGAGUCGGUGACGGCGAGCUAAUCUCUUAAAGCCAAUCUCAGUUCGGAUUGUAGGCUGCAACUCGCCUACAUGAAGUCGGAAUCGCUAGUAAUCGCGGAUCAGCACGCCGCGGUGAAUACGUUCCCGGGCCUU
rnacentral:rRNA from 1 species